AGUUUGUUUACAAACUGCAUACAAUAAUGCGAUGUUUGCCUGAAAGGCAAACUCGGCAGAUAAACAGUGAGGCUGAAUUUCUGCCGAACUGUUUAUCACAC
rnacentral:sRNA from 1 species